rnacentral:lncRNA from 1 species
AGGCAGCGGCCAUCUCUACCGGCAGGCGGCAGUGCCACCUCUCCAGGAACCCCUCCGGCAGCAGCGCUUCCAGAUCUGGCUUCUCCGCACCCUUCCCCAGCGAUUCGCAGCCGUCAUCCUCUCCCCGCCCUCCAUCUUCAUCCCUUGCCCACCACGCCUUCUGUUUCACCGGAUCGUGGAUCUCCGCUGCCCACAAUCCACCAUCGAUUUCUACAUGUUUAUGCUCCUUCUUCUCUUGUUUCUCACAGACACACACACACACACACGUUUCUGCUCCACUACUACCGCCGCUGCCUAAAGCCCUAGAUCCCCAAAGUUGUCGCCGCCUCGCCCUCCUGCAAACCCCUCUUCCUUCAUCGUCCUUGCAGAGGCGCGUCGUCCAACACUCGUCGCCCCGCCGUCUCCCUCUUCCCCCACGAUUUCCGCCGUCCCGCCGCCCUCUCCUGCCCUAAUUUCUCAGAUCCGAACUGGAGCCCUUCGAAACCCUAAUUUUCGCAGCGGUCGCAGGCUAAAGCUCGCGCACCUGCUCUCCACCACCACCACCACCACCACCACCACCGUUUCCCCUCAUUUCCAGGAGGAAGGCAGCGAUCGAGAUUUGUAGAAUGAGCGACGAAGGCAGUCCAGACGGGAAGAAGGUUUAGACGAUAAAUCAGGGGAUUUUUCUAUUUUUUUAUUUUUUUUAAUUUAAAAGAGCUUGACAAAACGACGUCGUUUUACUACAUCGGAAAAUCGUCCACGUCAACAAAAUCCGGCAGCCACGUCACCACCGAUCAAGGUGUUAGUCAACGCGGGUGCAAUUUGCGAUUAAAUUAAAAGGUGGUGUAUUCUGGGGCUAUUUUUGAAUGUCAUGUGCAAUAUGCAAAUCCGGUGAAAGUUCGUGUAUUUUUCGGCUAUUAGCC